rnacentral:tRNA from 1 species
CUGAGUAGCUCAGACAGUAAAGCAUCUGCCUGCAAUGCAGGAGACCCAGGUUCAAUCCUUGGUUCGG